UACGAAGGGGGCUAGCGUUGUUCGGAAUUACUGGGCGUAAAGCGUGCGCAGGCGGUUUUCCAAGUCAGUGGUGAAAGCCCGGAAGCCUCAACUCCGGAAUUGCCAUUGAAACUGUGAAAACUUGAGGACGAGAGAGGUGAGUGGAAUUCCCAGUGUAGAGGUGAAAUGCGUAGAUAUUGGGAGGAACACCAGUGGCGAAGGCGGCUCACUGGACCGGAACUGACGCUGAGGCGCGAAAGCGUGGGGAGCAAACGGG
rnacentral:rRNA from 1 species